UACGUAGGGUGCGAGCGUUUGUCCGGAAUUAUUGGGCGUAAAAGAGCUCGUAGGCGGUCUGUUGCGUCGGGCUGUGAAAACCCGGGGCUCAACUCCGGGCCUGCAGCCGAUACGGGCAGACUAGAGUUCGGCAGGGGAGACUGGAAUUCCUGGUGUAGCGGUGAAAUGCGCAGAUAUCAGGAGGAACACCGGUGGCGAAGGCGGGUCUCUGGGCCGAUACUGACGCUGAGGAGCGAAAGCGUGGGGGAGCGAACAGG
rnacentral:rRNA from 1 species